rfam:Trametes pubescens strain FBCC735 TRAPTBscaffold_1381, whole genome shotgun sequence.
GGGCAAUUGGCACAGUGGUAGCGCGCACGCUUCGCAUGCGUGAGGUCCAGGGUUCAAUCCCCUGAUUGUCCA